ACCUCGGUAGCUUAAAGGUAAAAGCACUAAAUUGAAGCCUUAGAUAAGUGAGUUCGAUUCUCUCCCGGGGUG
rnacentral:tRNA from 1 species